AGUCGAACGGCAGCAUGAUCUAGCUUGCUAGAUUGAUGGCGAGUGGCGAACGGGUGAGUAAUACAUCGGAACGUGCCCUGUAGUGGGGGAUAACUAGUCGAAAGAUUAGCUAAUACCGCAUACGACCUGAGGGUGAAAGUGGGGGACCGCAAGGCCUCAUGCUAUAGGAGCGGCCGAUGUCUGAUUAGCUAGUUGGUGGGGUAAAGGCCCACCAAGGCGACGAUCAGUAGCUGGUCUGAGAGGACGAUCAGCCACACUGGGACUGAGACACGGCCCAGACUCCUACGGGAGGCAGCAGUGGGGAAUUUUGGACAAUGGGCGAAAGCCUGAUCCAGCAAUGCCGCGUGUGUGAAGAAGGCCUUCGGGUUGUAAAGCACUUUUGUCCGGAAAGAAAUGGCUCUGGUUAAUACCUGGGGUCGAUGACGGUACCGGAAGAAUAAGGACCGGCUAACUACGUGCCAGCAGCCGCGGUAAUACGUAGGGUCCAAGCGUUAAUCGGAAUUACUGGGCGUAAAGCGUGCGCAGGCGGUUGUGCAAGACCGAUGUGAAAUCCCCGAGCUUAACUUGGGAAUUGCAUUGGUGACUGCACGGCUAGAGUGUGUCAGAGGGGGGUAGAAUUCCACGUGUAGCAGUGAAAUGCGUAGAGAUGUGGAGGAAUACCGAUGGCGAAGGCAGCCCCCUGGGAUAACACUGACGCUCAUGCACGA
rnacentral:rRNA from 1 species